GGGGUUAAGUGACUUGCCCAGGGUCACACAGCUAGUAAGUGUCAAGUGUUUGGUCUGAGGCCGGAAAGUGACUUUUUGCUUUAUCUUUAAAAGCUUCCCAAAAAGAUAUGGAACAUACCUCUUUAUCUGGGGCCAGAUGGUCAGUUUUGGAGAGAUUGAUCCCCACCUCUAAAUGAAAAGCAGAAGAAAAAGUCAAGUAGAGACGGGAGAUAACUUUGGAUUUCAAGUCAAAAGGUCUGUGUCCUUGGGCACAUCACUUACCCUCUCUGGACAUCAUUUUCUCCAUCUGAACAAUCAAGGCAAAUUGUAUGAUCACUAAUGCAUCUUCUGACUCUAAGUUCCAUGAUUUUAUUGAGUUGAAAAUCCAUGGAGAAUGUCGAAGGAACCAAAGUUCUUGACUUUGUUGUGGCCUAAAGUAUGUUAUAAAGACUAAAGAUGGUAAGUCUGGAAAAACAGAAUAGGGAUAAGAACUAGAUGUAUGAUUUUAUUAAUGGUAUAGACCAGCACUUCAUAAACUGUGGGUAAUAACCCCAAAUGAGGUCACAAAAAUUUGGCAAAAUUAAAAGGCUUCUGAGUGAACAAUGACCAAAAAUUAAUUCAAAAUCAAAUGUGUAAUGCAUGUGAGGUGUUUUUGGCAACACUUGCUUGUGCAUCUUGCAACUUCAGUACAGCCUUGGUUCUAAACACAAAGCAUGCACACUUCUCACCGUGCAUGACAUCAGGCCAAGCAACACCAAGAAAGCUACAGCAACAAGAAAAGGAGUCCCUAGUGGAGAAAAUUUAAGAAGCCCUGGUAUAGACAAUUCCUGGAUGAGGAAAAGCCAUCUCAUUAAGAAAGAAGACUACAAAGCUCAUCACAUUAGCUCUUUCUAAGCAAUGCAAACCAGUCCAUCCAGCUGUUCACUCACCAGGAAACAAGAUCAUCUAAUCAGAAAAGAGCUCACAGCAAAAGAGCUUAAGUUGAUUCUUUGGUCAAAACAAACCAGCUUAACCAUUUCUUCACUCCCCAAGAUUCUGUGGCAUCCAAUUACAUUUCAACAUCUCUUCCUAUACAGAACAGCAGCUGGAAAGUCUGUCUUUCCUUUUUUUGCUUUCCCCUCUCAAAUCAAAAAGGACAGCAAUGAAGAACAGGCACUUCUGAAAGUCUGCACCUUUCUUAAGUGAUGGGAUGCAAGUCUCGGUAGAAAUGGGACUGAAAGACAAUAGCUUGACCUCCAGCCAAUCAGAAACUGGAAAAUAAAACCCUAUUGUGAGUUGAUUGUCUCUGCUUUUGGUUUCUUCAGAUAGUUCUGAGGAAGACAUUUUUUGUCUCACUGAUGAAUUUUCCUUUGCUAUAGUUCUUUAAUCUCUUUGGCCCAAGCCUUGGGUUCUAUCUCAUUCUAUUUCAAUGACUUAAAACAAGGCCUCAGUCAUUUACUUUCUGAGUAACUCAGUGAUUUACCUUUCAUUUAUGAGACAAAACCUAACCACAUUUUCUUUAUGAAAUUGACAGUCCUUAUUUGAUUAUCCUUCAGUCUCUAAAAAGUUAUAUGAAAAUAAAUUAUAUUAGUUUUGCCCUCUGCUUUUAAAAUAGUUACAUAUAAAUUCCUUAGUCAACCAUAAAGUCUUGGAUUUCUAAAUUCUCAAAAUGAACCUCCAUGUCAUUCUACGUCCUUGAAUUUGAGUUUCAUUGUAUUUCCAUAGUGUAAUUUUUCCCCUAUUUUUUCUUUUUCUUUUUGGGGUGAAGU